AUUAUAAGGACAGAAAACAGCACAGUGGUUGCCAGGGGUUGUGUCCCCUGAGGGCCACGCGGGGGAGGUUGUGGGGUGAUGCAACUGCCCUGCGUGGUCCUUCAGGGGGUAUGUGCUCCACACACGUGUGGCCCCACAGCACACCACAAAGAGUGACCAUGGCUAUGACAAAGUCAAGAACAGCUGGGAUGCGGGCUCCCGGGCUGGUGCAUGCCGAAGGGAGUCUGGUCUUAGAUGGAGGGCAACCCCCCGAAGAGUGGACAGAAAGGAGCUGACCUGGCAACUGUGCAAAGCAGUGCUUUUCCUAAACACCAUAAAGAAAGGAUGGCUCUACACAGCCGCUGGACUCGGGCUGCUAAGUCUACUUCCCACGGUGGCAUGGGUUAGCAGCCUGCACCGGCAUGUCCACUAGGACCGAGCAGGUAAACACACUGGGGAAGGGCUGGGCACGGCGGGGCCAGGGUGAACGGUUUACAUCCCACUCGCAGACAGACACGAGGCGCCCACACGUCCGCACCUGCCGGGUAGCGUGCAGACCCGUGUUCCCAGCUCUGCCUCUGAGAGGCCUGGGAGCACGUCACACCCCGGGGCAGCCAGCGUGCUUCCUGCCCAGAUCUUGGUUUUUAAAUACCACCUUCAACGAGAGGAACCAGGACUCCUCAGAGAAACGCCUGAUACUAGGGUGGAAGCUGAGAAAAUACACGAAGAGCCUUGAGUGCCCUGAGUCCCAGGAAGUGAGGAACUGCUUAAAGGAAAGUAUUGGGUAACAUAGAGAAUAAUGCAGUCCAAACGUGACUACAGACACAUCUGGCCACAAAUCGCUUGUGUAGCGGUUCUUCAGCAUGAGUCUGCACUCUUAUUGCUGGGAAGGCAGGGUAGCUGGGUGGGCCAGGCUGUCAAGCCCCUUUGCCUCCCCCAGACCACCCCCAAUACGCUGCUGAGGUUAGAGGCUGGGACGUUCAGCGCGAAACCUAACAAUACUGUGCUGAGAAGAGACGUGUCCUGCCCGAGCACAUGCAGUUUCCAGGAUUCCUUGUUUCUGUGCUGGAGGCGAGAGAGCUGACCCUCAACUUAGUUUUUCCUUUUUUGCCACAGGACUUGUACUUCAAGGUGAUAUUUCCACAUUUGCCUAAAGGUCAAAAAUCUUCCCUGGCAUCCGAGGCCUUUGACUGCUGCUGCCCAUGUCCCUGGGUGUGUGCCUGACUGUGGCCCCCGGAGCACCUGCCUGGGGUGGUGUGGCCUUUGUCUCAGGCUCAUUCAUGUGUCUGUGGCCGUGUCUGGGCCAGGCUCACAGCUGAGCCAAGGUCCCUGAGACAGAGGCCAAGGGGCUGAGAGCACUGUGCAGGGGGCAGCGGAGCUGGGGUCCAGUGCUCACCUCGCCAGGCCCCUGCCAGGCACUCACAGCUGCUCUGUUCAUAACCCUUGUUACGCAGGAAUUAUUCACUGGACACUUGUUAGAAAAGGCAAGAAAGACUUUACUUAAGACUGGCAAUUGUGGAGAGAAACUGAAUUCAACCCCUCAUACAAUAGGGGCGAGUGAAGGGUUCUAGCCACCGGCCAGGUGAGGGUGGGGAUGGAAGUUAUGAAGAGGAAUUGGUUGAGUGUCGAGGGGGAUUCCUUGCUAAGACUGAACUCAGCAGCCAAGGAUGAGGCCUGGAGGAGGAGAGGGUGGCAGAGGGGCCUGGUGGGAGUUUGCCUCUGGAGGGAGUCUGCUACCCCCACCACUGCCCCUACCCCAGGGAAUAGAUCCAGGAACCUGCCAAGGAGAGGACACACUGUGGCUUAAAGUCAAAGCCGGAGACUGACAGGAAGUCUAAUGCCCUAAACUCAGAAGGUGUGUCUCCUCCCGGGGUGUAUCUGCCCCUCAGCGCUGGUUUCCCUUCAUCCCAGUCCCUCCCUCCCUCCCUCCCUCCCUCUCUCUCUCUCUCUCUGAUGCUCUCCCGAGCUGUGAGCGGCUGCCUUCUGACCCCUUCUCCAUGGUCGUGUCCUCUGUCUGCCUCUCCUUCUGUUUCCACCACAGAAUGUGCACCGUGGGUCCCACUCUGCACCCUGACUGACCACAGACCAGAGCAGGUCUGCUGAUUAGGUGGACUGCGUUGGACUGCACACCUGUGUGCCUGCUUCCUUCUAAAGGGCCUUGCGGUCGGGCGCGGGGAGGCCGCUGUCUGGCGCACCGCAGUCCGCAGGAGCGGAGCGUCUGCCGGCACCCCUGACCUGGAAGGCAAGCUUCUGCAUCCCGCACAGUGGAAGGGAGCGGGUGGCGGCAGUUACCAUGGAGAUUCCGGCCUGCGGCCCUGAUUGGCUGAGACGCCUCCGGCACCGCCCCCUUGGCCCGCGGGAUGGGUGACGGAGGCAGAGAUUUCCCGGGGACUUCUGGGAAAACGGAGGUCCCUGAGGACGAAGGCGGAAGCGGCUCGGCCCGAGGCAUUCUGGGAGGCGCAGUCAGCCGCAGUCGCGGGAGGGCUGUGUGGGGCUCGGCUACCCGUGAGAUUUGAAGACCAGAGCAGAUACCAAAGAGAAGACCAUUAGAAUAUACUGUUGAGUGAGCAGCUCCUUCACUAUCAUCGUGGAAAGGCUCAGAAGGGAUGUGUCCAAAGGAUAUUUAUUUGAAGAAACCUGUGAAUAUGAGGCCAAGGUAGUAAAGCAAAAGGAGAAAUCUAUAGGCAAAAUUUCAAAAAAAAUCUCUUGCCCAAACCACUGGUUUUCUGCCAAUAAUAGUUGCCCAUGAAGAAAUAUCUUUUGAGGAAAAUGGGCAUACUUUUAAUGAUUUUGAGAGAAAUUUUGAUCUAAGAUCUAAAAUUAUUCCACUGCAUGUUACUCCUUCAGAAGAACUACAAAAAUUUGAUCCAUUUGGGAAACGUGUCAAAUGGAACCUAUCUCCAAUUAAAAGUCAAAGAACUUUUAAAAAGAAAACUCAUAAUUGUAGUGAAUGUGGAAAAAAUUUCAGUGACCGUUCAGACUUCCUUUGUCAUGAGAGAAUUCAUACUGGUGAGAAACCUUGUAAGUGUGAUGACUGUGGAAAAGCAUUUAGCCAGAGUUCAUCUCUUACUGAACAUCAGAGAACUCAUACUGGAGGAAAACCCUAUAAAUGUAAAGUUUAUAGAAAAGCAUUCACUGUAAAUUCAUCUCUUGUGCAACAUCAGAGAAUUCAUACUGGGGAGAAACCUUAUAAAUGUCAUGAAUGUGGAAAAGCCUUCAGUGACUGCUCAUCCUUUAUUCAACAUCAAAGAAUUCACAGUGGAGAGAAUUCAAGCCGGAGUGAAACCCUGUAAAUGUAAUGAUUGUGGGAAGGCAUUCAGACGAAGUACACACUGUACCCAGCACCAGAGAACUCAUACUGGGGAAAAGCCUUACAAAUGUAACGAGUGUGGAAAACAUUCAGUGCCCACUCAACGUUUAUACAACACCAAAGGAUUCACUCUGGAGAAAAACCCAUGUAGUUAAUGUGGGAAAACUCAUCCCUUACUAAACACCAUUGAAUUCAUACUGGAGAGAAACCUUAUGAAUGUAAUGAACGUGGUAAAACUUUUAGCCCCAGCACUCAUCUUACUCAGCGUCAGAGACUCCAUACUGGAGAGAAACCCUGUAAAUGUGAUAAAUGUGGAAAAGCA